CAGGAGGUGCUGAGCCCUCCUCUUCUCACCAUUCAGCUUGCUCAGGAGUGAUGGUGAGCUGUGUGCCCAGCACCCACCAGAAACACCUGCAGCACUCAAGAGCAAAGGCAAGCAAAACAAAUUACCCAAGGACAAUGCUGCCAAGUGGGCAACAGCUCAGGAGAAAGUGCCUGCAAUCCGCAUGCAGAGGCAGAAACUGAACAAGUGAGAAGGCUCUCAAUAAGCCUGCACAAGGGAAUUAGAGGAGGAGAAUCUCAACAAAUCUCCUGCCUAAUUUCAUCUCAAUCUCUGGAGAGUGCUGGGAUGGUGUCAUGGCUUAACCCCAGCCAGCAACCAAGACCUGUGCAGCCACUUGCUCACUCCCUCACCUGCAAGAACAGGGAGAGAAUUGGAAGGGGACAAGCUAGGAGACUUGUGGAUUGAGAUGAAGACAGUUUAACAGGACGAGCAAAAACCAUGCAGACAAGCAAAGGAAAACAAGGAAUUUAUUCACUACUUCCCACAGGUGUGGGCAGGCAGAAGUUCAGCCUUCUCCAGGAGAGCAGGGCCCCAUCACACAUAACAUUGACUUGGGAAGCCAAAUCACAUCACUCCAAAUGUCUCUCCCUUCCAUACUGAGCAUGAUGUUUUAUGCUUUGGAAUAUCCCUUUGGUCAGUUUGUGUCACCUGUCCCAGCUGUGUCUCCUCCCAGCCUGCCAUGUACACCCAGCCCCUCACCAGCAUGGCAGAAAAGGCCUUGGCUGUGUGUAAGCCCCACUUAGCAAUAACAAAAACAUCUCUCUAUUAUCAACCCUUUGCUCAGCACAAAUCCAAAACAGAGCCACUGUGAAGAAAGUGAACUCUACCCCAGCUGAAACUAGCACAGAUGGCUGCCCUGCCUUCGACACAGCCACUUUGUCCCUGAGCACUACUCAAUCAUCCCAUUGCAAACCUGGAGCAGGAGAAGACACUUCACUGUUGUGCAUCAAGUGUGUUAGGGACUAAAACAGAAAACCCAGAUGCUGUCACAGCUGCUGCCCCACUUUUCCUCACAGCUCUCACGCCUUUGCCCUUGCAUCAUGUCCCCCUUCACCAAUAGGCUUUGACCACUCUUUGGAACCCAACGUAACUGUUUCCAGAACUCGUGCUUACUGUAAGUCCACUUGCCAAAUUCCUUCCAUUUUGGCUGUGACUGGAGGAAACAAAACACCAGAUGACCAAGCCCCCUGACAACACAGCAUGGGAGCACCGGCCAGGAGCCCACAGCAGGACAGACAGUCUCUAAAGCAGCGCUUCAGCACCAGCACAGGUUCUCCAGCAGCAUAAGCAACUGCUGGUGAGAAAACAGGCAGCUCCAGUGCACCCACAGGACAUACAGGAGCAGCUGCGAAGGGGAGUUUUGCACAAUGCAUAAUCAGAGCACAAAGGAGAUUGAUCCUUGCGCUAGAACAUAGCCUGACAGUCCCCAGACCGUGAGCACAAUUUUGGCUUUUGUUGUCAGAGUUGUUUCAAGGGCUGACAGAGCAGCUCGAGUUGUGCUGGAUUGCCCUCUGCAGCCCACGGGGCGCAUCGUCCCCAGCGCGGGGCUGGCCUCACGCCGUGGCACGGUGCGCAAAAUCAAUCCCCGAGAAAAGGCUCUGCCAUCAUUUCAAUGACAUUUUCCCUCCUGGCUGUAACCAGAGAAAGCUGGUUUGCUUGUUUGUUUCCAGAUGGUUCUACCUGAUUACAAGGGGAGCUUGGCAAAAGAAAUUACCUUUUAAGAAACA